rnacentral:rRNA from 1 species
UACAGAGGGGGCAAGCGUUGUUCGGAAUUACUGGGCGUAAAGGGCGCGUAGGCGGCCUUCUAAGUCGAACGUGAAAUCCCCGGGCUCAACCCGGGAACUGCGUCCGAUACUGGAUGGCUUGAAUCCGGGAGAGGGAUGCAGAAUUCCAGGUGUAGCGGUGAAAUGCGUAGAUAUCUGGAGGAAUACCGGUGGCGAAGGCGGCAUCCUGGACCGGCAUUGACGCUGAUGAGCGAAAGCUAGGGGAGCAAACGGG